AAGUCGAGCGAGCGGAACCAACAGAUUUACUUCGGUAAUGACGUUGGGAAAGCGAGCGGCGGAUGGGUGAGUAACACGUGGGGAACCUGCCCCUAAGUCUGGGAUACCAUUUGGAAACAGGUGCUAAUACCGGAUAAUAAAGCAGAUCGCAUGAUCAGCUUUUGAAAGGCGGCGUAAGCUGUCGCUAAGGGAUGGCCCCGCGGUGCAUUAGCUAGUUGGUAAGGUAACGGCUUACCAAGGCGACGAUGCAUAGCCGAGUUGAGAGACUGAUCGGCCACAUUGGGACUGAGACACGGCCCAAACUCCUACGGGAGGCAGCAGUAGGGAAUCUUCCACAAUGGACGCAAGUCUGAUGGAGCAACGCCGCGUGAGUGAAGAAGGUUUUCGGAUCGUAAAGCUCUGUUGUUGGUGAAGAAGGAUAGAGGUAGUAACUGGCCUUUAUUUGACGGUAAUCAACCAGAAAGUCACGGCUAACUACGUGCCAGCAGCCGCGGUAAUACGUAGGUGGCAAGCGUUGUCCGGAUUUAUUGGGCGUAAAGCGAGCGCAGGCGGAAAAAUAAGUCUAAUGUGAAAGCCCUCGGCUUAACCGAGGAACUGCAUCGGAAACUGUUUUUCUUGAGUGCAGAAGAGGAGAGUGGAACUCCAUGUGUAGCGGUGGAAUGCGUAGAUAUAUGGAAGAACACCAGUGGCGAAGGCGGCUCUCUGGUCUGCAACUGACGCUGAGGCUCGAAAGCAUGGGUAGCGAACAGGAUUAGAUACCCUGGUAGUCCAUGCCGUAAACGAUGAGUGCUAAGUGUUGGGAGGUUUCCGCCUCUCAGUGCUGCAGCUAACGCAUUAAGCACUCCGCCUGGGGAGUACGACCGCAAGGUUGAAACUCAAAGGAAUUGAC
rnacentral:rRNA from 1 species